CAGAGCGAGACUCUGUCUCAAAAAACAAACAAACAAAAAAUAUUUAAAGAUUAGCAAGGAGGCAAAAGUGGCUGGAUCAGAGUUGGCAAAGAGAGAGUGGUUGGAGAUUACAUAAGAAAGGUAGUAGGGAAAAGUGCCAAGCCUUGUAAAGCCAUAAUAUGGAUUUUUCAUUUUAAUCUGAAUCAGGAAGAGAAGUCUUUAAGAAUUUUACUGUAGAAAGGUAACAUGGUUUGCCUUGAGAUUUUAAGGAAUUGUUCCUUUGGUUGCUUGUGGAAAGAACAAUAGGAGACCAAGGUUAGGUGCAGCAGGAUCAAGUAGGAAACAAUAGGAAUGGCCCAGGAGGGUUAUAAUUGUAGCUUAGACUAAGCUGCUGGAAGUAGAGGUGAUAAGUGCUGGAUUCUGAAUAUAUGUUGAAACAGAGCUCAUACGAUUUUUUUAAAGAUGGUCCCGAGAAUUUUUACCUGAGUACCUAUACGAAUAGACUUGACAUUUAGUAAGAUGUAAGAGAUCAGGGCAAAGAGUAGGACAUUUAAUGAGGAGGGGUAUGCAUAAUCUGGGGAUGACAGUUAACACAUGCAAAGUACCCAGACACAGCCUGUCUCUUAGAAAUGAUGAAAUAAUUAUCAACAGUUCUUUUCCACCACACAUGUUAUUUCCAUUCUUGUGUAACAUUAACUUUGCUCUUGCUCCUUGCCAUAUCAAAUUCUUCCUUUUUGUAAAAAGUCAAUUUUAAAUUCAUUUCUAAUCUUACCCCAAUAAAGUUAUUUUCUUUCUAUGAAAAUCUUAAAUGUGUGUAACCUGCACAGAUUUUCUCACAUGUGAUUCUAUGUUGCUUAUGUAUUUUUCUCAUUCAAGGUACUUUAACAUUGUGAAUGUGCAUGGGUGAGUGUAGAAAGGCAUAUUUCAUGCCUCUAAAACUUUUGGAUGAUUGGCAUCAAGCAUAACAACAACUAAAGCCCAAAGCAGAACAAGAGAGCAGUCAUAAUUUUCAUAACGGAAUUUAUUUCCCUUUGGGAACACUUGCAGAUGUUUAAAUGUCAGGUGUGCUGAUAGCUAUGUUUUCGUAUAUCCACUAAACGAUGCUCUAAGGUAAGUUGGAAAAGGAUGAUCCUCUCUGUGGGAAUGUUUGUUCAAUAUUUCUGAUAUUCAUAUAUUUAUAUUAUAUGUUGUGAAUUUAUUGUCUCUUUCAGUGUAGAUGUUCUCUGAAACUCAUAUAUGUGAUUCAAGAUGAUCAUACUUUUGCCCUCUCUCACACUUCCACCCAUAGUUUCAGGCCCCUGGCCAGGUAGCCAGUUCUUUUGCUGCUAUUAGGACCACUCUUGGAACCAGCUGUCUCAGAUGUAGAGAUGCGGCCUCGCAUGCAACUAUCUUCCUGGCAAGGAAUAAGAAAGGAAGUACUAGAAAGAAUGAAACAGGGAAGGAGGGAAAGCUAAUUCAAGGUACCCUAUUGACCAGGCACGGUGGCUGAUGCCUGUAAUCCCAGCACUUUGGAAGGCCG
rnacentral:lncRNA from 10 species